rnacentral:lncRNA from 1 species
AUCCCUCCAUGGCCUCUGCAUCAGCUCCUGCUUCCUGACCUGCUUGAGUUCCAGUCCUGACUUCCUUGGUGAUGAACAGCAGUAUAGAAGUGCCUUUUGCCGACAGCAGGAGCCUAGAAUACUGGGAUGACAUAAGCUCAAAAAUACCUGGCCAACUGGCAUAGAAAUUCUUGAGUAGGGAGACGUAAGAGUUGAUUAGGAAGCUAAGGAAGAUUGUCCCCCAGCUUCCAACAGAGCCUUGCAAUGGAGUGGAGUGAAGAGGCCCAGCACAGGUACCAACUGAGUAAAUGUAACAGAAAAAAACAAAAAUGGAGCUAAGAGAAGACCUGGCAUCCAAAAUUGAGAACUAAAUAGAGGCAUGCCACUGAGAAAGCAGGUCCAUAUGGAUCCAGGGUGAGUAACUUUACUCCAGAGCUGCUUUCAGAUCCGUUUCUACAGAAGUACCUUUCAGGGGUAUUAGCUGGAGCAUGUGCACCUGGAGGAAUCUGUAUGCCACUGUAGCUGCCUGGUGCCAAGUUGCUUGGGUCGUAUGCUGAAGAUGAUGAUGGCUGAGGUGGCUGAGUGGGCAGAGAGGUUGCGCCAACAUCUUCAUUUUCUUCAACAUCUGUAUAUAACACAUGUAAAAUGUUGAAGCAAUUCUACCUAUAUGUAGCUAAUAAGCAGGCUAUUUCUUGAAAUCAUUGUUACAUUUUAAAAUUUUUAAUAUUUUAUAAAGUUUGUGGCUGACAAUGAAUACCAUUUCUUUCGGACAGUGUCCACCAGGUCUAUACAUUCUUUACACAUACGUUUAUUUCUAUAAACCAAACAAAUUUCAAAAAGUGAUUCCCAGUCCGGGCUGCACUGCUACUGUCCAGA